GGUUGCGGGCUUUUUCAAUAAAGUCGGCUCUCCUUAAAUAUAUUAGCGGAAUCUUUUUGUGAGCCGUCUUUGGUGUGAUAAUUAUCUACGCUAUAGAUGUUUGCAUAAUACGAGGUUCAGCUUCUAACAGUCCAUUGACUUGGACAAAUCUUUAUUGACCAUUUGACCUCAAAUCAGGUAGGACUACCCGCUGAACUUAA
rnacentral:misc_RNA from 1 species